rnacentral:snRNA from 10 species
UAAUGUUAAUGUCUGAAUUUGUCCAGCAGGCUUUCCAGUUUUGGCCAGAAAGUACCCCC